ACCACAGGUUCUCAAUGGGGUUCAGAUCAGGUGAACAAGGAGGCCAUGUCAUUAGAUUUUCUUCUUUUAUACCCUUUCUUGCCAGCCACGCUGUGGAGUACUUGGACGCGUGUGAUGGAGCAUUGUCCUGCAUGAAAAUCAUGUUUUUCUUGAAGGAUGCAGACUUCUUCCUGUACCACUGCUUGAAGAAGGUGUCUUCCAG